ACACUGAUGAAAAGUCCCAUACUAGAACGAAACGGCCGUCCAGUGU
rnacentral:hammerhead_ribozyme from 1 species